CCCCCCCCUUCACAUGCAUACACAUUCUUUCUCACUCAUUCACACAGACACACACGCACACACACACACUUUUCUUCCCCCCCACUCUAUUUUGGUAUCAUGCACACAAACAUUCAUGCUUGCCUUUAACAGAGCAUUGCGAUGUUGCUCUCGUGAGUUUUGUGUCCCAAGUUGCAUGCAGAUUGCAUGAUAUACAAGGAGCGUCCUGCCAACAUCAGGGCCUCUCCUUUUUUGCCAUGCAGCAGCAACAAGUGGCAGAAUCAAUGGUGUACAGUUAUUCAGCAAUGUAAUUCAUUUCACUGCCUUGGCAUCGAGCCAGAUCCACCAUCUGUCUCUCUCUCUCUCUCCUCUCUCUCUCUCUCUCUCACUUGAAUUUGUCCUACAUUUCGUAACGUUACAUGCUUGCCAUCCUUAUUCUGUGCCAGAGAUACAGCAGGCUCUCACCCCCAUUCCGGUGUGCAGUUCUCAGAGUUCGGUGCCACUUUGGAUACUCCAGUUCGAUGCCAAGAGAAGAAAAGGAUGCUGGCACGCCACGCCACUGCAGAGCUUUGUUGGAUACCUGCAGAUCCCUGCCACCAAACAACCUCCUGCAUUGGAAAUUGGGUGACUACGCCAGGAUCUUAUGCGUGCUUGCUGUUUGAAGCUGCAGAAAAGUGAAUAAUCAAUUAAGUAUUGAUUUCUUGUAAGAUUUGGUAAAUUUCAAAGGCAAGACAAAGAGGAUGGCUUAAGGAAAGCACUGCAGGGACUUGGCGUAAAUUAGACAACUAACAGCAGUGCAGAAUAAAAUAACACCUCAACUGAAUAUUUCCUUGGAAGAAUUAGCACUAGCUAUUGGAAGAGGAUGGUGGAUUUAAUCAAGACAGCAGGCACGCUCGAGUUUUUAACCGUGAACCUGAAAGAGGAGCUAAUUAUAACCACCUUUUUCUAUAUGGAGCUAAUUUGACUGAAUGGAUGCAAAUGUGCUUUAUUUAUGGAUGAGGAAGCAAGCCUUACAGCACUGACUUUAGGAUCGUUGCAUAUGCUAAGCAUUACAGCAUCUCUUAAAAUUAAAAGCUACAGUACAUUUUUGUAUAUUGAGAAGGUAUUUAUAUGUAGAGGAAAACGUAACGGUGCAAGAGAAUCAUCAGAACAAUGUACCAUAGCAUUUAGAGGGUCUAAUUAUAAUUUUGCAGCCUCUUUGUUUUCCCUUAUUUAGUAUUUAUUGUUCCACUUUUGCUUGCAAUGGGCUAUAGCAACCAAUAAAUGUAUAUUUCAAAUGA